AAAUAAUUGUGGGGGCAGCGGAAAGAAAAAUGGAAGCGGGUACGCGUACGCAGCUGUUCGAAUCGCCUUACACGUUUCUUCCGUAUGAUGAACGAGUCUUCGAGCUUUCUCGCAGAGUGAAACUAUGGCUGCUCCAGUCUGCGCAAGCAAUGCUUUCACUGUCAUUUCGAAGUCCCAAUUCGUUUGCAAGGCGAUUUCAUCCACACUGUAAAGCUCUCUCUUCCGGUGAAGGUCUCUGCCUGAACUUCUGCUCCGUAGUUCAUUUUCUCAAAGCUGAGCGGCUGAUCGGCCUUGACUCUUCUCAGUUGUUAGGGUUUUUUUUAACCGGACCUUGAUUCUACUCAAAGCAUUCUUGCCAAAGGUUUGAUCAGACUGCAAGAGAUUCUGCUGGAUGGAAAUCGUACUUGAGCAGAAAGAUGCUGCUGAUUGGACCUACAGAGGCGAAGGAGCUGUCAACCUCGUUCUCGCUUACACUGGAUCUUCUCCUCUUUUUCUUGGGAAAGUUAUACGGAUACAAAAGGCUCCAAGAAAUGGAUCACACGGCACGAGCGUGCGGAACCUAAUGGCUUUGUCCGCGCAUGAGCGUCUUCUGUGGAGAGAUGUAGGGGACCUUGUUUCGUGCACAGAUCGUGAUGUUGUGUGUCAAAUCUAUGUGCAGCAUGUAAUGAUCCCGUUAUUGGAUUCCAAACAUGUUGAUGCUGGGGUCCAUGUCCUUGUAACGAGAGAAUUCCUAGAGACUAUUGAGAAGAACAUUCUUAGUCAGCGUCCUGCUUGGAGGGUUAGUGCAGGGCGAGUCAAUAUACAUUGUGAUUUUGUCCUCCUUCAAUCUGACCAUUCUAUUUUUCCGCAAGGUGGUGAAGGUGAAUUUUGCAUAUCUGUCGAGAUAAAGCCAAAAUGGGGAUGUCUUCCAACUUCAAGAUUCAUAAGCAAAAGAAAUGCCAUUAAGAAAAGUGUGACUCGUUUUAGGAUGCACCAAGCAUUGAAGUUGCAGAAAGGCGAGAUAUCAGAGUUAAGUGAUUACGAUCCUCUAGAUUUGUUCUCUGGAUCCCAGGACCGUAUAUAUAAAGCAAUCAAAGAUCUCUUCUCUACCCCUCAGAAUAAUUUUCGUGUCUUCUUGAAUGGUUCCCUAGUACUUGGGGCAUCGGGUGGCUAUGCUGUUGACACUAAUUUAGCAAUUGAGGAAGCAUUUGAAGAUGCUCUUCAAUCUGUUAUCCAGAGAGGAAAUGGAUUACGAACUAUGACUUUUCUACAACUUGUUGCUGAGGCUGUAUAUAGAUCUGGAUGUUUGAAUCGUCUUCUUGAGGUUCAAAAGCUUGACAGUUUUGACAUAGAAGGGGCUAUUCAUGCGUACUAUGACGUUAUUUCUGAGCCCUGCCUGGUUUGUAGACACAUGAACGAUGAUGAAUGGUUGAACAGAUGUGCCACAUUACAUUCUGCCCAUCUUGAUCAAAGCUUGGAGAUUGUGAGGAACUAUUUAAUAGCUGCAACCGCUAAAGACUGUAGUUUGAUGAUCACAUUUAGACCCUGGCACGUUGAUUGUCCUGGCUCUACAUAUAACAGCAUAUUUGUAGAAUCAACCAAGCAAACUUUUGACUACAAGGUGAACUUCAUAGACCUGGAUCUGAAACCUUUUAAGAAGAUGGAAGAAUACUAUGAACAAGACAAUAAAAUAGUUCGCAAUUACACACAGAUGUUUGUGACAGAGCUAGGGGCAGACAAUUAUUACAGGCCCGAAGGCUUGUGAAUUUACAACACUUUGAAGGGUACUCGCCAAAGUUUGUGGCAAUUCUUCUUUUCUGAGUUGGAUGCUUUCUUUGGCAGAUUGUCUGCUGUUUUAUCUAGUCCACUGAAGAAGCAUGCUUUUUUAUCCCAAUCUUCCCGACUGACAAAAGCAUCUAUGGAGUUCAUGCGUGGCAAAUGUCUCAGAACGAUAUUUGGGGUAUGUAUCAAUAUCAUCUGAUCGAAGUUCUUCUUUUAUUUUAUUUUAUUUUUUUUAAUAAUAAAUUUGAAUUUGAAUUUUAAGUAAUGUAUGUUAGAAUCCACUAUUGACUCUUUUGCCUAAAAAUAAAAAAAGAAAGGAAAGUCUACAGGUUCCCUGUUCUGAAAUUCAUAAAUGUGUAGUAUAUACUUUUAUCAUGGGGUUCUAUGUAGAGUGAUUUGGCGACCACUUCAAGGAUAACCCUAGGAGAGUUUGUUUGGAUUUUGGAAUGGUCUAUUACCAGGGAUCUGUAUGGGUCGUACAUUGAUUUGAACUGUCUAUUUUAUUUUUUAGAUGCAUUUCUGGGAAGGCUGUUAAUUUUUUCUUGAA